CGGGCGCAGCGAGCCCCCGCCGGGAGGCCGGGGGAAGGAGGGGAAGAUGGCGGAGUGAGGGGCGGAGGAGGCGGAGGGGCCGGGCCGGCCGCGGCCCCGCGGCCUCGGCCGCGCUCAGCUCACGGAAGAGGAUGUGGAAUGAUCAAAAAUAAUGCUCUCCAGGUCUGCUUUUCCACAUCUUCAUAAGAAUAAGAUUUUCCCAACAGUCGAUGGUCAGCCCAAUGAUCCGCUGAAAUAUUUGAGUGACUCAAGAGAGAUAUUGAUAGUGACAUGUACUAUAUUGCCGUUUUCAUGGUCUGCUCACUGCUUCUGACAUAGGAGCUGAAAAUUGUCACUGGAAAACUGUUUCUGGACUUGAUCAACGGAAUGGUUAAGAUCCUCUCCUAAGAAGGUGGUCUUCUUGCUUGGUCAAAGGCUAUAAAAUGUGGAUAUUUCUCUUCUAGCAAGUAAAACUCGUUCUUCAUUUCCAUGGAGCUGAAUGAACAAAGAUCUGUCCACUUCUGUUUGAAUCAUCUCACCAAACAUUUGAUUCACCAGAUGACUUCCCCCACAGAAGUAGCCCACUGUUUAAUCAAAACUCAGAAGCAGAGUAGCAGAAAUCGGCAUUUGUUUUCCUGAAAAAAUGUCUUCUGUCCCAGCUCUUCAUACAGCUUUCUACAUUCUGUUUUAAAAUGAAAAAUACUUUGUAAUCAGAUGCAAGUGGAAGCUGGUGUUUUUCACUGGUAUUUCCUUCUUAAUUUUAGGACAGUUAAAUGCUUCUCUGUGUCAAAUUGGAAUUCCUAGCAGACAAAGCGUCGGCAUGCAUUGCUGUGUCACACUGACCUGAUGUAUAUGACAAGUUGCAGGAGGAAAACCAGAAUGUUUUCUGCAAGAAACUUACCAAACAACUAGGGGGUGUCUCAUACAGGUAUUUUCUAGUCCAGGUCCCAGGCUUGACUUUGUAGAUAGGCAUCAACUCACAUAAAGCAGCUAAUGCACAAGAACAAAUACAGAAUCACCUUGUCUAUACUGUGUAUCCCAAGCUGUGAUCAAAAUGUAUAUUUGCAUGUGUGAACCUCUGUAAGUGUGGGAUAUGAAGAGCUUUCACCUGAAGAAGAAAUUAUUCUGCAUCAUUUCAUUUUUAGCAAAGAAAAAGGAAGCUUUGAAGGCCUCUGGGGUAACAGCAUAAUGACUAGGUUUGCAUUUAAUCAUUACCUUCCUCAGGCUUUUAAUGAAUCCUUAGCAUCAAAAGGAACAAGACCAUUCUACAGGAGAAGAGAUGGGCAGAACAUCUUUCUUUAUUAUAGAAAUUAACUUUUGAUGGGAUGGAAGAGACCAGAGCUGUAAAGUUGCAGUUUAUCUACCUGGCUUCCUCAACACAAUUUCAGCUUUUCCUACUGCUGAUGAAAUCUUGUUUUUUGAUUCUUUCAUGACUGAGAGGACCUUUAUGUUUCCUCCAUCUAGGUAGAAAUAGGCCCAGGAAAAUGGAAUGUUAGCCACGUAAGAGGGGUGAGUUGAGAGCAGAAAUACUUAGUACAGUCCUUUUUCUGGCUCUUCUUAUUCCUUCCCAAACUAAGGCACAAUCUGGUUGUUCUCAUGUUUACACAAGAUUCGUUGUCUAUGUAAUUUGUGAUUAUAUAGGAUAUUUUCUGUCAUUCUGAAAUGGGAGCAUAUAUUGUUUACAUGCUCCCUGCUAUGGGAUUAUCUAUAACAAGUAAGAUUUUUGGCAAAAACCUACCAGAACUGGGAUAUGUAUUAUAUUCCACCUCAAAUCUGAAACUCUUUCAUGCACCUUAUUCCAAGCUUGUGAUUUAGAAAUGUGGCUUGCUAGCUUAAAGUACGGGAGAUACUAAAAUGGCUGGGGAAGUGUUCUAGAUUUCUUGUUCUGUUUUUCCUUUUAGAAAACUGCUGGAGAGAGCCAGACAGCCUGAAAAUGGCUGAAAAAGUAAACAAUUGAAAUCCUUCUUAAAUCUUGGUGAUUGAUUGCCAGGGCAGCAGUCUAGUAUCAGAAAUGUGGUGACAUUUUGUGGGACCAAGUUCCAUAGCAGAGUGAGGACAAGCAAUGAUGUUGAUUCAGUCCUCCCAAGUAAUGUCUGUGUUUAGACUUGUUUUGUAACAGUAGGAUUUAAUGACAGCUUCACCCAUUUUGUGUUUCCAUGAAGCAAA